AGUGAACGCUGGCGGUAGGCCUAACACAUGCAAGUCGAACGGCAGCACAGUAAGAGCUUGCUCUUACGGGUGGCGAGUGGCGGACGGGUGAGGAAUACAUCGGAAUCUACUUUUUCGUGGGGGAUAACGUAGGGAAACUUACGCUAAUACCGCAUACGACCUACGGGUGAAAGCAGGGGACCUUCCGACCUUGCGCGAUCGAAUGAGCCGAUGUCGGAUUAGCUAGUUGGCGGGGUAAAGGCCCACCAAGGCGACGAUCCGUAGCUGGUCUGAGAGGAUGAUCAGCCACACUGGAACUGAGACACGGUCCAGACUCCUACGGGAGGCAGCAGUGGGGAAUAUUGGACAAUGGGCGCAAGCCUGAUCCAGCCAUACCGCGUGGGUGAAGAAGGCCUUCGGGUUGUAAAGCCCUUUUGUUGGGAAAGAAAAGCAGCAGGUUAAUACCCCGCUGUUCUGACGGUACCCAAAGAAUAAGCACCGGCUAACUUCGUG
rnacentral:rRNA from 1 species